CCUACGGGCGGCAGCAGUGAGGAAUAUUGGUCAAUGGGCGGAAGCCUGAACCAGCCAAGUAGCGUGAGGGAUGAAGGUCCUACGGGUCGUAAACCGCUUUUGCAGGGGGAUAAUACCGUCCACGCGUGGAGGUAUGCAGGUUACGCGCGAAUUAGGGAUGGCUAAUUCCGUGCCAGCAGCCGCGGUAAUACGGAAGGCCCGAGCGUUAUCCGGAUUUAUUGGGCUUAAAGGGAGCGUAGGCGGGCGUUCAAGUCAGCGGUAAAAUGGUGCGGCUCAACCCCGCCCCGCAGUUGAAACUGGGCGCCUUGAGUGCACAACAAGCAUGCGGAAUGCGUGGUGUAGCGGUGAAAUGCAUAGAUAUCACGCAGAACCCCGAUUGCGAAGGCAGCCUACCGGGGCCCGACUGACGCUGAGGCUCGAAGGUGCGGGGAUCAAACAGGAUUAGAUACCCGAGUAGUC
rnacentral:rRNA from 1 species